rnacentral:lncRNA from 1 species
GCUACAGCACACCUCCCUGACCGCAGCAUGGUCAGCUGCCAAAGGUGUAGACCGUUGGAAAUGGGCCUCCGGUGCAUGGCGUUGUCACCCAGAGGUGUAGGACUGGCAGCCCUUAGUACCUUAGUAAAGAUUCACGGACACCAUGCACGUCACCUGUACCUUUCUUUUACGACGAUGGAGGCAGUCUAGGCCUGAUCGCCGGCUGUUUUGUAUUACGUUCCAGUAGCCAAAUUACGUUCCCCAAUGUGACAUAGACAUCAGCGCAAUUUACAACACGAAAUUAACGCAGUGUCCAUUCUAAAUUCUAUGAUCUAACAUACUGCUAACCAC